rnacentral:rRNA from 1 species
UACGUAGGGUGCAAGCGUUAAUCGGAAUUACUGGGCGUAAAGCGUGCGCAGGCGGUUUUGUAAGUCUGUCGUGAAAUCCCCGGGCUCAACCUGGGAAUUGCGAUGGAGACUGCAAGGCUAGAAUCUGGCAGAGGGGGGUAGAAUUCCACGUGUAGCAGUGAAAUGCGUAGAGAUGUGGAGGAACACCGAUGGCGAAGGCAGCCCCCUGGGUCAAGAUUGACGCUCAUGCACGAAAGGCGUGGGGAGCAAACAGGAUUAACGAAACCCCGAGUAAGAUCCAGACCCAAGUUCUCUGCCUACCGUUAA